GUCAGGUAUACUAUAAUAUCUUGCAUCUAGCAGUGGCACAUGCUAUAAUUUAUCUGCUUGCUUACUUAGGCUCUAGCAGUCUAGUCGUAACACAAAGUUUUGAACUUUUUAUUCAGCAUAAUCUAAUACUAAUAGUAGGUAAUACUUCUAGUGUUUGUAACUAAACUAAAGAAAGCACUUUGUAUUUCUUGCUUUUUUUGUAACAACAACAUAAUCUAGAGUAAUUAAAUAGGUUCCCUCAGACAUAAUAAGUUCCAAAAACGAAUCACACAAGCAGAUCAAAAUAGACAUACCAACGGAUUCCUCUGCCUGGACUAGAGAUAUUUGUGUUAGGGUCGCUUUCUCCUCUCACUGUCCAUGUUUGUCCAUAAAGACAAGGGGCUUUGCUGCAAGUGAGCACCACAUGAUUUUGUCAUUUAUGUGCCCCCCAACCACAUCAUGGUCCAUAGGAGAGUAGCAUACAAGGUAUGGGACUGCGUGGACACAUGAUUGUGUUUGUGGAGGCUGUACUAUUUGAUCUUUGUGGCACUCUUAAAUAUAUCCAGAAGAUGGAUAGGUUGUAGGUAAAAAUAAUAAAACUGAGGUUGUUCAGCCUCCAUAAGUGAGGAGUGAGAUGAGGCCACACAAGCCUGAAGCUUCAGCUAGUCUUCUAUUUUCCUACUAGCUAAGCUGCUAAGUGCUAACAAAUAGUACACGAUAGCCUGUUCUAGGAUAUCGAAUAGGGUUAUUGUUUAUUGAGUUGUGCUCUUCUUGCUCACUAAUAUGAGAUGCUAAGUUUGCCGAUAAGAAGAAUGAUCUGCUACCAUGCCUUCCUUGUUAUUGACUAGCUUUUGGUCACUUUAUUAAUCCUUUGUUCCUGUGUUGUGCUUGUGGGUUCUUCACUUUUGUUUCAAGCUUUGGUCCGAUUCAGUAUCCUGUAGUUUUGCAAAUAUAUGGGUCCUGUAGUAUCCUGUAGUUCCACAAAUAUAUUUAGUAUCCUGUAGUUCCACAAAUAUUCAGUAUCAUGUAGUCCUACAUGUGGAUAUGGAUUAUAUCCACAUAUAAUCCAUAUCUACAAGUAUUACCGUACUGCAGUUUUGUAAAUAUAUUAACACAGGGCAGUCAAAAUUAUACAUAAUAUAGACGUGUUUCUCCAACUACUAGCUGCGUCACAUGCGUACACUAAUUAAUUGGGUUUAGAAGUCAAAAUUAUUCAGUAAAAUCUGAAUCUGGCUCUAGCAGUCUAGUCGUAACACAAAGCUUGCUUAAUUAGGUCUUUGUUUAAUGAUGGGUUCAUGACCCUUAUUAUGCCUUGCUUGAACCAGAAAUGCGAGCUGAAGAACAUGGAUAUGAGUAGGCCCAUCGGCGAGAAGUGCACAAUCGAGGAACAAGUGUUGUGUAUUUAUUUUUCGAAUGAAUCGCAAAAGUUUGGAGUAGUUUGUACUAAAUUAUCAAGGAUGAUACGUAAUUUGUGCUGAAUUAUCAGAAAAGUUCUUGCUUAUAUAUGCUAGUGCUGCAUUCAAAUGCUAUGUUGCACACCAUUUUUUGUAUGAUUAUCAAGGAUUUUUGUUUAUCUUGUUAUACGAUGCACAUCAAUUUUGUAUGGUUAUCUAGGAUGUUUGUUUUUCUUGUUGAAAUUGAUGGGUCAUUAAUAACUGAACCAAACCCCCCUUUUAGUUUGAGAGAACCAAAUGAGUCUGAAGAGAAGGGGUUUGACAUGGAUGAGCUAUGCAGUGGAUUGGUGACAGGCAGGGAUCAAUUCGAUCCCUUAGUGGAUUAGUUCCACUAGGGGAUUAGUUCCCCUGGAACCAAAUAAGGCCUUAGGGAUAGGGGUGGGCAGGGGAGAAUCCUCACCGUAGCCUCGAAGGAGGAGAUCAACACCCAAAGGUGUCGACUUCGAUAUGCCCACCUCACCGACCAGAAGUUUCCUCUGGAUCCACACACUCCCAACAGAUCCAUGGAGCCAGCACAUGGGGAAGACGACUACAACCGCUGGGAACUGGAGCCGGCGUAGAACGGAGUAGAUCGGGCGAAGGGCAAAUCAACUCCCAGAUUGAGCAGAUGGCCAGCGAGGAGCCACCACCUACGCUACCCGCAUGUCAGAGGGACGACCCACCUGCACCCGGCGGAGCCACCAAGUCCUCGUCGCCACAUUCACCGGUGUUGCAUGCCCAUCUCGGAGGAUACCACUGGCGGCGGAGGAGGAGAAGUAGGGAGGAUCGGGGAGUGUUGGCGGCAGCUAGGGACAUGG
rnacentral:lncRNA from 1 species